AGCAUAUCAAUAAGCGGAGGAAAAGAAACCAACAGGGAUUGCCCCAGUAACGGCGAGUGAAGCGGCAACAGCUCAAAUUUGAAAUCUGGCCCUCGGGCCCGAGUUGUAAUUUGGAGAGGAUGCUUCUGGCGCGGCGCCGUCCGAGUUCCUUGGAACAGGACGCCAUAGAGGGUGAGAGCCCCGUACGGGCGGCCGCCUAGCCUUUGCGAAGCUCCUUCGACGAGUCGAGUAGUUUGGGAAUGCUGCUCAAAAUGGGAGGUAAAUUUCUUCUAAAGCUAAAUACCGGCCAGAGACCGAUAGCGCACAAGUAGAGUGAUCGAAAGAUGAAAAGCACUUUGAAAAGAGGGUUAAAAAGUACGUGAAAUUGUUGAAAGGGAAGCGCCUGUGACCAGACUUGCGGCCCGCGGAUCAUCCGGUGUUCCUCACCGGUGCGCUCCGCGGGCCGCAGGCCAGCAUCGGCUCUCCUGGGGGGACAAAGGUCGCGGGAACGUGGCUCCUUAGGGAGUGUUAUAGCCCGCUUCGUCAUGCCUCCGGGGGGGCCGAGGACCGCGCUUCGGCAAGGAUGCUGGCGUAAUGGUCACCGGCGACCCGUCUUGAAACACGGACCAAGGAGUCAAGCAUUGGGGCGAGUGUCUGGGUGCCAAACCCGCACGCGAAAUGAAAGUAAACGCAGGUGAGAGCUUCGGCGCAUCACCGACCGAUCCUGAUGUCUUCGGAUGGAUUUGAGUAAGAGCCUUACCGCUUGGACCCGAAAGAUGGUGAACUAUGCCUGUAUAGGGUGAAGCCAGAGGAAACUCUGGUGGAGGCUCGCAGCGGUUCUGACGUGCAAAUCGAUCGUCAAAUAUGGGCAUGGGGGCGAAAGACUAAUCGAA
rnacentral:rRNA from 1 species